GAGAGGGGAGAUUUUCUUCUGGAAUACAGAGGGCAACUCAUCAGCAGGCAUGAAUGUGAAAGUAGACAGAAAAUAUAUCAUGAUGCCCUCAAAGUGUUCAUGUUUGAAUUUUAUUUCAAUGGAAAAUUGUUUUGCAUUGAUGCUGCCCGAGACGAUGGCUCCCUUGGGAGACUGGUGAAUGAUGACCAUGUUAGCCCAAACAGCAAAAUGAAAAAAAUCACCAUAUCAGGAAAGCCCCAUCUAUGUUUAUUCGCAACCAGAAGCAUUAGUCCUGGAGAAGAAAUUACAUAUAACUACGGUGACUCUGACUGGCCAUGGAGAUGCAAGGUGGCUACUGAAAAAGACCAACUGCACCCAAAAGAGCAGAGCACAUCAAGUGAGGUAGGGAGGACAGGGAAAGUAAUUCAGUUAAACUCUUGUAUGUGUGAUUAUUAGGUUUAAGUAGUUGGAGAUAUAGAUGUGUGUUGAAUGAGGAUAUGCAGAGAGAAUGCUGGUAAUUCUCUGUCCCUGCAAAAGGGAGAUCAGCGUGUGAAAGUGUGCUUGACAAAAGCAUUGUCUGUGAGGAUAUGGUGUUGAUGAGAACUGCAGAGAUUACUGGGAUUUUGUGUUUGAACAUUGUGUGAAACAAUGCUUAGAUAUUAGAAAUGCAGUUCUGUCAAUGAUAGUUUUAUGUAAUUUUUUUUGUACUGAUUUA